rnacentral:rRNA from 1 species
AAGUCGUAACAAGGUUUCCGUAGGUGAACCUGCGGAAGGAUCAUUACAGAGUUCAUGCCCUCACGGGUAGAUCUCCCACCCUUGAAUAUUAUACCUUAGUUGCUUUGGCAGGCCGGGGCAACCCCCGGGGCUUCGGCCUUGGUGUGCCUGCCAGAGGAAACAAACUCUGUUUUUAGUGAUGUCUGAGUACUAUAUAAUAGUUAAAACUUUCAACAACGGAUCUCUUGGUUCUGGCAUCGAUGAAGAACGCAGCGAAAUGCGAUAAAUAAUGUGAAUUGCAGAAUUCAGUGAAUCAUCGAAUCUUUGAACGCACAUUGCGCCCCGUGGUAUUCCGCGGGGCAUGCCUGUUCGAGCGUCAUUUCAACCCAUCAAGCUUCGGCUUGGUCUUGGGGCCUGCGAUUCCGCAGCCUCUAAACCCAGUGGCGGUGCCUCCGAGCUCUGAGCGUAGUAAUUCUUCUCGCUAUAGGGUCUCGGUGGUGUCUUGCCAGUAACCCCCAAUUUUUUACAGGUUGACCUCGGAUCAGGUAGGGAUACCCGCUGAACUUAAGCAUAUCAAUAAGCGGAGGAAAAGAAACCAACAGGGAUUACCUCAGUAACGGCGAGUGAAGCGGUAAUAGCUCAAAUUUGAAAUCUGCCGCAAGGCCGAGUUGUAAUUUGUAGAAGAUGCUUUGGGUAUGGCCCCGGUCUAAGUUCGUUGGAACACGACGUCAUAGAGGGUGAGAAUCCCGUAUGUGACUGGGUGCUUUUGCCUAUGUAAAGCUCUUUCGACGAGUCGAGUUGUUUGGGAAUGCAGCUCAAAAUGGGUGGUAUAUUUCAUCUAAAGCUAAAUAUUGGCCAGAGACCGAUAGCGCACAAGUAGAGUGAUCGAAAGAUGAAAAGCACUUUGGAAAGAGGGUUAAACAGUACGUGAAAUUGUUGAAAGGGAAGCGCUUGCAACCAGACUUGCACGCUGUUGAUCAUCCAGGCUUCUGUCUGGUGCACUCGGCAGCGUUCAGGCCAGCAUCGGUUCUGGUGGUGGGAUAAAGGCCUUGGGAAUGUAGCUUCUUUCGGGGAGUGUUAUAGCCCUCGGUGCAAUGCCGCCUAUCGGGACCGAGGACCGCGCUUCGGCUAGGAUGCUGGCGUAAUGGUUGUAAGCGACC